GAUCGCCCCACAGCUGGAAGUCAUUAAUAGUCCGGGGUUGCAUAAAAAGCAAUGUGAAGGGAGUGAACAGCUUUGGUCAGGCUACCAAAGUCGCUGGUAGCCUGGACCCUGAGUUCACCGAUCCUUCCUACUCAGUAAUAUCUACAGUCGACAACUUCCAGCUUCUCCAGAAGUGGCAAAUAACUUUCCAACUGGGUAUCCACACAGAAAUAUGUGAGCAUGCUUACAUGGCAUGUGCUGCCCCACCUCCCCCUGUGAGGAGCUUGGUUACAGCUACAGCAUUUCUACAACCUCUUUAAACCAACUUUGUAGUAUCCGGCAGCAAAGUAUCAUUCCCUGACAUUCGAGUCAUUGAGUCUCUGAAGACUUGGAAAAGGGAUAAUAAGCCAAAUCAUUCAGGAACCAGGGGGUCCCAGAGAGGUAAGCCUGCACAAAGGAUUGAAAGGGCUAACAGCAUAUGGGUAAUACAGGAUCUGCAUUAUUGGACAUCUGAAUUAUUGGAGAGUACUUUGUACAUGACAGAAUUAUCCAGAUAGGUAA
rnacentral:lncRNA from 1 species